UACAGAGGUCCCAAGCGUUGUUCGGAUUCACUGGGCGUAAAGGGUGCGUAGGUGGUGAGGUAAGUCGGAUGUGAAAGCUCGGAGCUCAACUCCGAAAUGGCAUUGGAAACUACCUUGCUUGAGGAAUGGAGGGGGGACUGGAAUUCUCGGUGUAGCAGUGAAAUGCGUAGAUAUCGAGAGGAACACCAGUGGCGAAGGCGUGUCCCUGGACAUCUCCUGACACUGAGGCACGAAAGCUAGGGGAGCAAACAGG
rnacentral:rRNA from 1 species